rnacentral:rRNA from 1 species
UACGAAGGGGGCUAGCGUUGUUCGGAAUUACUGGGCGUAAAGGGCGCGUAGGCGGUGUGUCAAGUCAGGCGUGAAAGCCCCGGGCUCAACCUGGGAACAGCGCUUGAGACUGGCACGCUCGAGUUCGGGAGAGGAUGGUGGAAUUCCCAGUGUAGAGGUGAAAUUCGUAGAUAUUCGCAAGAACACCAGUGGCGAAGGCGGCUCACUGGCCCGGUACUGACGCUGAGGUGCGAAAGCGUGGGAGCAAACAGG